AUUGAACGCUGGCGGCAGGCCUAACACAUGCAAGUCGAGCGGAGCGGCUGACGGGCGAGUAAUGCCUAGGAAUCUGCCUGGUCGUGGUGUUUAACGUCCGGCUACGGGCGCUAAUCCCGCAUACUAUCAGAUGAGCCUCUGUCGGAUUCGCUAGUUGGUGGGGUAACGGCCUACCAAGGCGACGAUCCGUAACUGGUCUGAGAGGAUGAUCAGUCCCACUGGAACAGAGACACGGUCCAUACUCCUACGGGAGGCAGCCGGGGGGAAGAUUGGGCAAUUGGCGAAAGCCUGAGCGAGCGAUGCCGCGUGGGUGAAGGAGGUCUUCAGGUUGUAGAGCUGUUAAAGUUGGGAGGCGGUACCAGCAGAAUAAGCACCGGCUAACUGCGUGCCAGCAGCCGCGGUAAUUC
rnacentral:rRNA from 1 species